UCUCCAUUAUCUCAUCCAUCCUACUCUUGGGCUCUCCAUGGAUCCUCUUCUUCCUCCCGAUUCUCCACCCUCUUCGUUCCAAAAUCGAAUCCAUGGGGGAUCAAAACCCUAGCCCCAGAUCCUGUUCAUCAUCUCGCUUUGUGGUCUCACUUGUUUGUUGUAGUAGAAUUAAGUUCAAAGCUUCUGCUAUGGCCGGAAAAACUGCAGUGCGGUGAAACAAGAAAGUAAAACUUGCCUCCUAGCUCUUAUUGAGUUGGGUUCUGCAUAGUGGUAUCUUGAUGCAUGGUGCAUUUCUUGCAGAGUAUGGUAGCAGGGAAAAAAAGAAAAAAAACCGUUACAACUAAAACAACAAGAUACAUGUGAAGCAUCUCCUUGAUGGUCCAGCGCAACGUUGUAGAUGUAAUAAGUUAUGAAGAUCCUCUUUUUAACAGCUCAAGAUGGCAUCGCCAAUUAAUAACACAAGAAAUUGCCUUUCCUAUAGUCGGGUUGUAAUUUAAAUUAAUAGUAUUGACAGUUGAUAGAGAUAUUGUCUUUUGAAUGAUUAUUUUAUAAUUCGAAGUCUUUCAUUGCUG